ensembl:miRNA MIR5088 microRNA 5088
CCCAUCAGGGCUCAGGGAUUGGAUGGAGGUGAUGGGGGCAGGGGAUGGGUCUCACCCUCCCUUCUUCCUGGGCCCUCAG